rnacentral:rRNA from 1 species
UACGAAGGGGGCUAGCGUUGUUCGGAAUUACUGGGCGUAAAGCGCUUGUAGGCGGCACGUCAAGUCGCGUGUGAAAUCCCCAGGCUUAACCUGGGAAGUGCGCGCGAAACUGACGAGCUUGAGUGCCGGAGAGGGUCGCGGAAUUUCCGGUGUAGCGGUGAAAUGCGUAGAUAUCGGAAGGAACACCAGUGGCGAAAGCGGCUUCCUGGUCCAGCACCGACGUUCAGGCACGAAAGCGUGGGGAGCAAACAGG